ACCCGUGACAGUAGUUUACAACCCUAGGGCCUUCGUCCUACACGCGGCGUCGCUCCGUCAGACUUUCGUCCAUUGCGGAAGAUUCUCG
rnacentral:rRNA from 1 species